UACGUAGGGUGCAAGCGUUAAUCGGAAUUACUGGGCGUAAAGGGCGCGUAGGCGGCCUGCUAAGUCGAACGUGAAAUCCCCGGGCUCAACCCGGGAACUGCGUCCGAUACUGGCAGGCUUGAAUCCGGGAGAGGGAUGCGGAAUUCCAGGUGUAGCGGUGAAAUGCGUAGAUAUCUGGAGGAACACCGGUGGCGAAGGCGGCAUCCUGGACCGGCAUUGACGCUGAGGCGCGAAAGCCAGGGGAGCAAACGGG
rnacentral:rRNA from 1 species